CCGCCGGCGACCGGCGCACGGGUGAGUAACGCGUAUGCAACUUACCUAUCAGAGGGGGAUAACCCGGCGAAAGUCGGACUAAUACCGCAUGAAGCAGGGGCCCCGCAUGGGGAUAUUUGCUAAAGAUUCAUCGCUGAUAGAUAGGCAUGCGUUCCAUUAGGCAGUUGGCGGGGUAACGGCCCACCAAACCGACGAUGGAUAGGGGUUCUGAGAGGAAGGUCCCCCACAUUGGUACUGAGACACGGACCAAACUCCUACGGGAGGCAGCAGUGAGGAAUAUUGGUCAAUGGGCGUAAGCCUGAACCAGCCAAGUCGCGUGAGGGAUGAAGGUUCUAUGGAUCGUAAACCUCUUUUAUAAGGGAAUAAAGUGCGGGACGUGUCCCGUUUUGUAUGUACCUUAUGAAUAAGGAUCGGCUAACUCCGUGCCAGCAGCCGCGGUAAUACGGAGGAUCCGAGCGUUAUCCGGAUUUAUUGGGUUUAAAGGGUGCGUAGGCGGCCUUUUAAGUCAGCGGUGAAAGUCUGUGGCUCAACCAUAGAAUUGCCGUUGAAACUGGGGGGCUUGAGUAUGUUUGAGGCAGGCGGAAUGCGUGGUGUAGCGGUGAAAUGCUUAGAUAUCACGCAGAACCCCGAUUGCGAAGGCAGCCUGCCAAGCCAUGACUGACGCUGAUGCACGAAAGCGUGGGGAUCAAACAGGAUUAGAUACCCUGGUAGUCCACGCAGUAAACGAUGAUCACUAGCUGUUUGCGAUACACUGUAAGCGGCACAGCGAAAGCGUUAAGUGAUCCACCUGGGGAGUACGCCGGCAACGGUGAAACUCAAAGGAAUUGACGGGGGCCCGCACAAGCGGAGGAACAUGUGGUUUAAUUCGAUGAUACGCGAGGAACCUUACCCGGGUUUGAACGCAUUCGGACCGAGGUGGAAACACCUUUUCUAGCAAUAGCCGUUUGCGAGGUGCUGCAUGGUUGUCGUCAGCUCGUGCCGUGAGGUGUCGGCUUAAGUGCCAUAACGAGCGCAACCCUUGCCACUAGUUACUAACAGGUGAUGCUGAGGACUCUGGUGGGACUGCCAGCGUAAGCUGCGAGGAAGGCGGGGAUGACGUCAAAUCAGCACGGCCCUUACAUCCGGGGCGACACACGUGUUACAAUGGCGUGGACAAAGGGAUGCCACCUGGCGACAGGGAGCGAAUCCCCAAACCACGUCUCAGUUCGGAUCGGAGUCUGCAACCCGACUCCGUGAAGCUGGAUUCGCUAGUAAUCGCGCAUCAGCCAUGGCGCGGUGAAUACGUUCCCGGGCCUUGUACACACCGCCCGUCAAGCCAUGGGAGCCGGGGGUACCUGAAGUCCGUAACCGCGAGGAUCGGCCUAGGGUAAAACUGGUGACUGGGGCUAAGUCGUAACAAGGUAGCCGUACCGGAAGGUGCGGCUG
rnacentral:rRNA from 1 species